UUGGCAGCCCUGGAGACUGAUGUCCUAAUUAUCCACAGAACAGAAGCACCUGGGAAUUUUCCUGCCAGUGUGACUCAGCUGAAAGGUGCAGAGUCCAACUCUCAGAUUAGAUGACAGUUCAGUAUACAGCCUUCACACACUGCAGUCAUU
rnacentral:sRNA from 1 species